rnacentral:pre_miRNA from 1 species
AAAAAGGCAAACCCUGGGUUUCCGUGCCAACGUUUGACUGUCCGUCUUAUAUGAAAUUUUUUUAUAAUUAGUAUUUUCAUUAUUGGUAGAUGAUAAAACAUGAUUAAUACUUUAUGCGUGACUUAUCUUUUUAAUCUUUUUCAUAAUUUUUUUAAAUAAGACGAACGGUCAAACGUUGGACACGGAAAUCAGGGUU